UGAGUAACGCGUAGGAACCUGUCGCACAGUGGGGGAUAACGCUGGGAAGCCGGCGCUAAUACCGCAUGUGGUCAGAGAUGAAGAAAGCAGCAAUGCGCUGUGUGAGGGGCCUGCGUCCGAUUAGUUAGUUGGUGGGGUAAAGGCCUACCAAGGCGUCGAUCGGUAGCUGGUCUGAGAGGAUGGUCAGCCACACUGGGACUGAGACACGGCCCAG
rnacentral:rRNA from 1 species